CCCCAGGCCCAGGAGUCGAACCUGGAUCUUCCACCUCUUAUCGAGCUCGGGUCCGCAUAUUAGACUUUCGCGCAAUAGGCAUUCCCGGGUGUCACCAGCUAUGCUACCGUUGCACCAACCUGGG
rnacentral:tRNA from 1 species